rnacentral:rRNA from 1 species
GUGUGGAGCCGUAGCGAAAGCGAGUUUUAACUGAGCGUUCAGUUACUUGACGUAGACCCGAAACCGGGCGACCUACCCAUGAGCAGGAUGAAGCGAAAGUAAAAUUUCGUGGAGGUCCGAACCCACGAGCGUUGAAAAGCUCGGGGAUGACUUGUGGGUAGCGGUGAAAUUCCAAUCGAGCCCGGAGAUGGCUGGUUCUCCCCGAAAUAGCUUUAGGGCUAGCCUCAAGGUGAGAGAUACGGAGGUAGAGCACUGAAUGUCCUAGGGGGUAUUGCACCUACCGAAGACUAUCAAACUCCGAAUGCCGUCAUCUUAUACUUGGGAGUCAGACUGUGGGUGAUAAGAUUCAUAGUCGAAAGGGCAA